rnacentral:rRNA from 1 species
UAGGGAAUCUUCGGCAAUGGGGGCAACCCUGACCGAGCAACGCCGCGUGAGUGAAGAAGGUUUUCGGAUCGUAAAGCUCUGUUGUAAGAGAAGAACGUGUGUGAGAGUGGAAAGUUCACACAGUGACGGUAACUUACCAGAAAGGGACGGCUAACUACGUGCCAGCAGCCGCGGUAAUCCGUAGGUCCCGAGCGUUGUCCGGAUUUAUUGGGCGUAAAGCGAGCGCAGGCGGUUUAAUAAGUCUGAAGUUAAAGGCAGUGGCUUAACCAUUGUUCGCUUUGGAAACUGUUAAACUUGAGUGCAGAAGGGGAGAGUGGAAUUCCAUGUGUAGCGGUGAAAUGCGUAGAUAUAUGGAGGAACACCGGUGGCGAAAGCGGCUCUCUGGUCUGUAACUGACGCUGAGGCUCGAAAGCGUGGGGAGCAAACAGG